rnacentral:lncRNA from 1 species
AGGUCAAUCUUAAAUGCUGUAUAGGAGGAUCUCAUUGAGAAGAUAUCAUUUGAGCAAAGAUGUAAAGCAAGGGAGGGAAUGAGUCAGUGGCUACAUAGCGAGAGUGUCCUAGGCAGAGGAAACAGCUUCUACAAAAGCCCUGAAGCAAGAGAAUGUUUGAAGUGUUCAAGAAUAAACAGGAGAUGCAGAAUGAAUGGAAUUGAGAGUGAGUGAGGCAGUCGGAUACAAGGUGUGUGAGGUGAGGGGGUGGGGUGCAGAUAAUAGAGGGCCUCUUGUUAUUGAGCAAAAGGAGCUUGCUGCCAUAUGCACUAGAAGCCAAUGCUAUGACACCGGGUUUUGAGAAAAUAAACACUGUGUAUUGAAAGUCAACUCUCAAGGAGAUAGGAGCCAAGCUCAAAUCUCCCUAUGCUGGCUUCAAGGCAGUAUAUUUUAACUAGAAAAGGUUCAGGGAGUGGAUUUUGAGAUUAGUAAGUGACUGGUGGAAGGAAAGGAGAGCUCUGGAAAGGCCUUGGGCACGUGCAGUUAUCUCCUCAUGCUACUUCUGGGUUGCAUGUGCAAAUUCAGGGGGAGUUAGUAGAAAACGUGGUGUAAAUUUGGGCUGUGACAUCAGCAAGCUCGCUCUGCACAGACUCCAGUAGGCCACAUUGGUUCCAAAGGAUUUCAGCCAGUUUUUUUAAUCUCAUAAGCAGAGGGAGAUUCAGUGUUUCAGCAAGUUGGUUUUUUUUAGCAAACAGAAUAUAGAUGACGUGAUGGAGGAAAAAUCUGAGACUGGGUUAUAAAAAGACUGCAGCUGCUGGCUUGGGUGCACUUUCUGACUUGCCUAUACUCUGUCUUUCUCUCUCUCUCUCUCUUCCCCACUCUUCCUCUUAUCACUCAUUCUGAGGAAAGCCAUUUCUUGAUCUUUUUCAUAGAGAGACUAAUAUGGGGCAGCACUGAAGACUGCUGACAGCAGCCACAUGAGUGAGCUCAGAGUGGACACAACAGCCCCUUCAGAGGCUGCAGGGAUGGCAGACAGCCUGACUGCAAUGUCGUGAAAGAUGCUGAGGCAGAACCAUGCAGCAAAGUCAUUCCCAGAUUCCUGACUCUCAGAAAAUGUGUGAGAUAAUAAAUGCUAUUAUUUUAAGCUGCUAAAUUUUGGGGCAAUUUACGUGUUACUUUAGAGAAGUCUGAACUUGCCCUUUUUUUCAUCUUUAUGCCUGAGGAAAUUUUUCUUUAUCAUCAAAGAACUCUGAGAAUUGAUGGGCACUGUGUUAGAGCAAGUGGGAAGUAUAGACACAGCUUCCCAUGUUAAGCACGAGCAAGAAGAAAAUAAUUUGAAUGGAAACUAUUCAAAUAUAUCACAGUGAUCAAAGAUUUAAAAGUGGAUGAAAAGAGACAGCUCAAGAACCCAAUUCAGAAGACAGCAUAGCUCAAGGAGGGUUUCUUGGGAGCCAUCAUUAAGGUGAAGAACAGAGAAGGCAUCCUAGCACCAGAGUUCCAGGCAGCCCCAACCCAUACUCACCCAUACAGCAGCUCCCCUUUGUAUCUGUCUUACAUAGUAUGCUUCCUGAUGUUACCUGAAAAGGGGUUUAAAAAUGUGCAAUUUACAAAAAUGCAUGGAAAAUAUGAAAUACACAUAUUGAAUCUUUUUUCAAUACACAUAUUGAAUCUUU